rnacentral:tRNA from 1 species
GGAGAAGUCGCCUAGUCUGGUCGAGGGCGCACGACUGGAAAUCGUGUAAGCGUCAAAAGCGUUUCGAGGGUUCGAAUCUCUCCUUCUCCGCCA